GGGCGCCAGCUCCCAUCCGGCCCCAGGGCAGGGCCUGGCUGGCUCAGGAGGGCAGGGAGUGAGGCAGGGGCCUGUCCCCUCUAGGGGGCGCCGGCUCCCACCCGGCCCCAGGGCAGGGACUGGCUGGCUCAGGGGGGCACGGAAUGGGGCAGGGUCCUGUCCCCUCUGGGGGGCACCAGCUCCCAUCCGGCCCCAGGGCGGGGACUGGCUGGCUCGGGGGGGGGGGGGAAUGGGGCAGGGGCCUGUCCCCUCUGGGGGGCACCAGCUCCCAUCCGGCCCCAGGGCGGGGACUGGCUGGCUCAGGGGGGCAGGGAAUGGGGCAGGGGCCUGUCCCCUCUAGGGGGCGCCGGCUCCCACCCGGCCCCAGGGGAGGGACUGGCUGGCUCAGGGGGCGGGGAAUGGGGCAGGGGCCUGUCCCCUCUAGGGGGCGCUGGCUCCCACCCGGCCCCAGGGCGGGGACUGGCUGGCUCAGGGGGGCAGGGAAUGGGGCAGGGGCCUGUCCCCUUUGGGGGGCGCCAGCUCCCACCCGGCCCCAGGGCGGGGACUGGCUGGCUCAGGGGGCGGGGAAUGGGGCAGGGGCCUGUCCCCUCUGGGGGGCGCCGGCUCCCAUCCGGCCCCAGGGCGGGGACUGGCUGGCUCAGGGGGCAGGGAAUGGGGCAGGGGCCUGUCCCCUCUAGGGGGCGCCGGCUCCCAUCCGGCCCCAGGGCGGGGACUGGCUGGCUCAGGGGGCGGGGAAUGGGGCAGGGGCCUGUCCCCUCUAGGGGGCGCCAGCUCCCACCCGGCCCCAGGGCAGGGACUGGCUGGCUCAGGGGGGCAGGGAAUGGGGCAGGGGCCUGUCCCCUCUAGGGGGCACUGGCUCCAACCUGGCCCCGGUGCUUGGCCCUGACACCGGCUGGGCUGAUGCAAUCCCAGCGCCUGGACCCGCCUCCGAGAAUCCUCCCCCUGGGGCGGGGCAGGGCCAAGGGAGCUGUCACGGGGGGGGGAGGCGAUCCAAGCAAACCCCCCCCCCCCCCGCCCCAGCCAAUGGCCCUAGGUACCCAGCCCCAUCACCACCCCCCAACCACAGGAUGGACCACAGGCAGCUCAGAGGGAGGUAGACGGGGGUAUGAACUGGGGACGGGAAGGUGCAACUAAGGGGAUCAUUUGGGGAGACAGGAGGGGCUGGGGAGGGAAGGGGUGUUAGGCCAGGGAGGUGGGGGGCUGGGAGGUGUCCGGGCUGGGUGCUGUGUGGCGGGGGCGAGGACAGAGCAGAUGUGGGGUAGGGGAGGUGCAGGGUGUGUUUGGGGCGGGAGGGCUAGGACAGGGAGAUGCAGGGCUGGCAGAUCUACGGGGCAGGGGGUGUCAGGGCUGAUCGGCUGUGGGGCAGGAGGUAGUGGGGGGGCUGUGGGGAUUAGGACAGGGAGGUGCGGGGCUGGCAGAUCUAUGGGGCAGGGGGUGUCAGGGCUGGUCGGCUGUGGGGCAGGAGGUAGUGUAGGGGACUGUGGGGAUUAGGACAGGGAGGUGCGGGGCUGGGAGAUCUAUGGGGCAGGGGGUGUCAGGGCUGGUCGGCUGUGGGGCAGGAGGUAGUGGGGGGACUGUGGGGAUUAGGACAGGCAGGUGGGGGGCUGGGAGAUCUAUG